UUUCCGAAUGGGGAAACCCAGUGUGAUUCGUCACACUAUCAUUAACUGAAUCCAUAGGUUAAUGAGGCGAACCGGGGGAACUGAAACAUCUAAGUACCCCGAGGAAAAGAAAUCAACCGAGAUUCCCCCAGUAGCGGCGAGCGAACGGGGAGGAGCCCAGAGCCUGAAUCAGCAUGUGUGUUAGUGGAAGCGUCUGGAAAGGCGCGCGAUACAGGGUGACAGCCCCGUACACAAAAGCGCAUGUGCUGUGAGCUCGAUGAGUAGGGCGGGACACGUGGUAUCCUGUCUGAAUAUGGGGGGACCAUCCUCCAAGGCUAAAUACUCCUGACUGACCGAUAGUGAACCAGUACCGUGAGGGAAAGGCGAAAAGAACCCCGGCGAGGGGAGUGAAAAAGAACCUGAAACCGUGUACGUACAAGCAGUGGGAGCACAGGUUUACCUGUGU
rnacentral:rRNA from 1 species